UUGAUCAUCAGGUAGUCCUCGCUGACCACACCGUAGUGGGGGAAGCCACCCAUGGGGGUGAUCUCCUUCUUGGUCACAUCGAACUCCGUGGUGGCCAGGUGGCUGGCGUCGCCCUUCUUGCCGAUCUUGUACACCUGCGCCAAGCAUGAAUGCACGGCAGAUGCGCACAAGCGGUGACCGCAAGCAAUGGAAAAGGAGCCGUGGAGCGAGGACAACGCAGGAAUCAUCCCACCGAUACGCUGCGGCAGCACAGCCAUCCCCAUAAUCCGGUACACCCUCCCCAACAGGGCACUAAACAUUAUUCCAGUCGCCACGGCCGCCUCGCACCUUCUUGUUGAUCUCAGUGCGGUGGUGGAAGCCCUGCUGACCGGCGCGGGCCACAGUCCACUUCACGCGGGCAGGGUGCCACGCGCCAAUGCAAGCCACCUUGCGGAGACCGCGGUGAGUCUUGCGGGGCAGGCGGGUCACACCCCAGCGCUGCACGACACCCUGGACUCCGUGACCCUUGGUGAUGGCGAUGGUGUCGAUCAUCUCGUUGGGCUGGAACACGGCGUCCACAGACACCUGCUUCUCGAACAUGCUGUAGGCGAAGUCGACCUUCUGCGCCACAGUGCCGCCGUUCACCUGGAGGGACAUGAAGGGAAAGAGGAGGCCACGGUCGCGAUCAGCAGGUGCAGCCGCCAUCAGGCCAAGCACAACGCCGGUGCUACCAUGACCACCGCAGUGCGCACCUGCACUGCCCCUCUUGGCCCCGCCCCGUGCCUGGCCACACCCGCCACCCACCUGGACCUCCAUCAGGUGGGCCUUCUUCACGCCAAAGCCCAGCUUCUUGACCUGGGUGUGCGCCAGCACACGGAUCACGCAGCAGUGCUUCUUCAGGGCGGCCAGCUCGGCCUCGAUGGCCUUCUUGCCGUCGCUGUACUUCUUGGCGUACUUGGUGAAGGCCUUCUUCUUGGACUUGUACCAGUUCUUGUAGAACCU
rnacentral:lncRNA from 1 species